rnacentral:rRNA from 1 species
UACGAAGGGGGCUAGCGUUGUUCGGAUUUACUGGGCGUAAAGCGCGCGUAGGCGGAUAUUUAAGUCAGAGGUGAAAUCCCAGGGCUCAACCCUGGAACUGCCUUUGAUACUGAAUGUCUAGAGUAUGAAAGAGGUGAGUGGAAUUCCGAGUGUAGAGGUGAAAUUCGUAGAUAUUCGGAGGAACACCAGUAGCGAAGGCGGCUCACUGGUUCAUUACUGACGCUGAGGCGCGAAAGCAUGGGGAGCAAACAGG